UUACAUGUGAUGCGAACACAUGCACAUCAAUAAACAACAAAUCAAGAUGUGACAAAGGCUUACGUUUGAACAUCAUCAACUUGAGUAGACUCUCUCUCUCUCUCUCUCUCUCUCUCUCUCUCUCUCUCUCUCGACAUGUAUAUAUAUGCACUUGUGCCUCUAGAUUCUUGACAUGCUAUUUCCCCCAACUUCUUUGCGGACAAUGUAUUCCUGGAAAUUCUUCUUGUGCUUUACAUUGCUGUUAGUAAUGCUAGUCAAGUUAGAAGCUCGGCCCGAUGAAUCCUUCAAAAAGAGAAUGAAGUUAACUGAAUAUUUCGAAGAAAUUAUGGAGAGAAAAGAAGUGUUUGAGGUAGGAAAUGAUGGAGACAGCGGUGUGGAAAGCCGUUAUAAUCCCAUGAGGUAUAUUCCAGAAGGACCAGACCCUAAACAUCACUGAUGCUAUGAUGAUCAGGAUAAGGAAACUUGCGGGCUAUCAUCAUUGAUUAGUAAAUUAUAUGCAUGUAAUAUUAAUUUGUUUACUCCAAUCUUAAUGUGCACGAUAUGUGCUAAACUUUCGAGCAUUUCUGUCAAUUUCUUGGUUGACAUCAUUGCAUGUUCUUUUUCUUCUUUGCUAUUUAUAAAUUGUUCUACCCGCUUUAUAUUCGUACUUUAAGUUGACUUAUUUUUUUCGUUUGCGUAGCUGAGCAUAUUUUCAAGAUAACUAUACAAGUAGCUUAUUCCAAACACACGUUAAUUUG
rnacentral:lncRNA from 1 species